CCUACGGGAGGCAGCAGUGAGGGAUAUUGGUCAAUGGGGGAAACCCUGAACCAGCAACGCCGCGUGAGGGAAGACGGUUUUCGGAUUGUAAACCUCUGUCCUCUGUGAAGAUGAUGACGGUAGCAGAGGAGGAAGCUCCGGCUAACUACGUGCCAGCAGCCGCGGUAAUACGUAGGGAGCAAGCGUUAUCCGGAUUUAUUGGGUGUAAAGGGUGCGUAGACGGGUAUACAAGUUAGUAGUGAAAUCCCUCGGCUUAACUGAGGAACUGCUACUAAAACUAUAUAUCUUGAGUACUGGAGGGGAAA
rnacentral:rRNA from 1 species